rnacentral:lncRNA from 1 species
GUUUGGGGUUGCAUGGGGGAAAUUGAAAGGCAAUUGAAAAAUCAUUGAGCUCAAAAGUUGAUAAAAAGAAAAGAAAAGAAGAAAAAGCAUGAAGAUGAGCUCAGUGCAAAAGAAAAGGGAAAAAGUUGGGAGUAAGUGAGAUUGGUCAGGAAGAGAGUUGUUCUUGAAUGUUGAAUAUUAUGAUAGCUCUCUUAACUCAAGG